GCCUCGGUAGCUCAGCCUGGCCAGAGCGAAAACUAAGCUUUGAUCAACUUGGUUACUCAGUUGCCUUGUAAGCAAUAGGUCGCGGGAUCAAAUCCCGCCCGAGGCU
rnacentral:tRNA from 1 species